GUGCAGCAGUCGCGAAAACUCCGCAAUACGCGAAAGCGUGACGGGGCUACCCCGAGUGUCGUCCGCUGAGGACGACUUUUCCACGCAGUAAGGAGGCGUGGGAAUAAGGAGAGGGCAAGUCUGGUGUCAGCCGCCGCGGUAAUACCAGCUCUCCGAGUGGUAGGGACGAUUAUUGGGCUUAAAGCGUCCGUAGCCGGCUCAGCAAGUCUCCCUUUACAUCCAGCGAUUCAAUCGUUGGACUGCGGGAGAUACUGUUAGGCUAGGGGGCGGGAGAAGCCGACGGUAUUUCCGGGGUAGGGGUAAAAUCCUAUAAUCCCGGGAAGACCACCAGUGGCGUAGGCGGUCGGCUAGCACGCGCUCGACAGUGAGGGACGAAAGCUGGGGGAGCGAAUCGGAUUAGAUACCCCUGUAGUCC
rnacentral:rRNA from 1 species